GCAGACACAUUCCAGCCAAUCAGCAGCAGACCCUCCCUCCCAGAUCCUCCCACCUCCUGGCCAGCUCACUAAGAAUGCAGCUUCAAAAUGGAUGCUGUCCAGGAGGUGGGAGGGUGUGGGAGGGAGGGUCUGCUGCUGAUUGGCUGGAAUGUGUCUG